GAUGAAGAACGUAGCGAAAUGCGAUACUUGGUGUGAAUUGCAGAAUCCCGUGAACCAUCGAGUCUUUGAACGCAAGUUGCGCCUCAAGCCAUUAGGUUGAGGGCACGUCUGCCUGGGCGUCACAUAUCGUUGCCUGAUGCCCGUUUCCUCGUGAUGGGUGACUGUGCAGGGCGAAUGAUGGCUUCCCGUGAGCAUUGUUGCCUCAUGGUUGGUUGAAAAUUGAGUCCUUGGUAGGGAGCGCCGUGAUAGAUGGUGGUUGAGUGACGAACGAGACCCAAUCAUGUGAGACCCCUACCGAAUUUGGCCUUCAUGACCCACAUGCGUCUUUGGAACGCUCAUGACGAGACCUCAGGUCAGGCGGGGCUACCCGCUGAGUUUAAGCAUAUCAAUAAGCGGAGGA
rnacentral:misc_RNA from 1 species